rnacentral:lncRNA from 1 species
GAGAUUUGGACUAGUUUGGAUGUGCAGAUAGAAGCCUGGGAAAAAUCCUUGCUGAUUCUGUAGCAAGCUCGACUCUGACUCUAAGGUACUCCAGGACCAAUCGGGGUUCCAGGCCCAGCCGGACCAAAGGGCGAAAGGGGCAGCAAGGGAGACCCAGGGAUGACGGGACCAACAGGAGCAGCUGGGCUGCCUGGUUUACACGGACCACCCGGGGACAAAGGAAACCGGGGGGAGAGGGGGAAGAAGGGCUCUAGAGGGCCUAAAGGGGACAAGGGGGACCAAGGAGCACCUGGACUAGACGCCCCCUGCCCACUGGGAGAAGAUGGCUUACCAGUCCAAGGCUGCUGGAACAAGUGAUGCCUCUAACCUCGGACUGGCCUGUGUGUGUUUGUAUAUAGGAUAUUUAUUUUUAUACAGUUUCACCUUUGGAAAAUGCCCAAACUAUGAUACAUCUUACAGAUCAUUAAAAGAGAAAGAAGAAAAGCCUGCAUAUUUUGUACAGGAAAUAACCCCUUUCCCUUUUGUUUACAAGACAUUUUUUUUUGUAUAAAUCUGUUUCUAAUACACUUUCUGUCUGUGUGUCUGCUCCUAAUGUUGCAUGAUAUUUGUGCACACUUAUUAAAUAUCACAGCUUAAUAAAUUAUUGUGUGAUGGUGCCAAAGGGGCCUUGUCUGCAUAGGGGUGCUGCGAGCUUACGUGUGAAUUCCCAAAAAAUGUGGAGGUCCACGGUGUUUGCCAGACGACAUGUGUCUGACAAUAUUUUAAACUUUAACUGACUUUCAUUAUUAUAAAAAAAAUAAAACGUGGCAAUUUCA